CAACUUAAGAUACAUAGGUAAAAUGUAAAGGGGAGCAGUCAAAGAACUCUAUAGUUGUCCUGCUUCGUACGGUACUUCUUGCCAUUAAGAUGGUGCACUGUGCCAAUUAUGAGGCCUAUUUCGGCCAGGGAACAAAACUCACUGUUCUGGAACCGGGGUGGACCGUCUCCCCGCCCACGGUGGUGGUCCUGCCGCCCUCUGAGAAGGAGUGCCGGGACCGGAAGGAGCAGCUGAAGAAGACCCUGGUGUGCGUGGCGUCGGGCUUCUACCCGGACCACGUCGGCGUGUCCUGGACUGUGAACGGCCAGUCGGUCACUAAGGGCGUGGCCAGUGACCACACCGCCCUGCGCGUUUACGACAAAUACCAGAUCACCAGCCGGCUCCGGGUGGAGGCCUGGAAGUGGUACACAGGGGGCAACAUCUUCACCUGCAAUGUCAGCUACUUCAACGGAAAUGACACCAUCUACACCUCCGCGGAGGUUUAUGGGGGCAGUGAUGUCAAUGGGACACAGACGGACGCCAUGACCAGAGAGGAAUUCGUUAAGGUCACCCAGACGGCCAAACUGUCCUACAUCGUAAUGAUCGUCAAGAACAUCGUCUACGGAGUCUUUGUCACGAUACUGGCCUGGAAACUCGGCAUCGGACGAUCGCACGCUACGGUACUGAGAAAAGACAGCGGGCGGUCCAAGGGAGGUGACGGCUCCAGCUGACCAUUUUCUCAGUUGUUGCCUUGGUGAUGUGAAACAUGCCAUGCGAGAAUAUAAACACAUUAGGUUGUACUCUGGAGAGCCACGCUGUGUUCUACAUCCAGGCAUCAGCCCGCUUCGUCUCAGUUUCUCAUCACUUUGAAGAUCGCUGAUGAAAUGAUUGGGACACUAAAAUAAUUAUAAGAAGGAAUAAUAAUAAUGAUAAUCACUUUUGCUGAAAUCCAUGAUGCUAUUGUCUCAUUAGAAUGUAUGUUCCUGCAUGAUUUGUAUUUGUUUUCAUAAAACCCAAUGUUUCUUUCUGUAUUAAAGUCGAUAAGGUUGAAA